rnacentral:rRNA from 1 species
UACGUAGGUGGCAAGCGUUGUCCGGAUUUAUUGGGUUUAAAGGGUGCGUAGGCGGUCUUUUAAGUCAGUGCUGAAAUACUCCAGCUUAACUGGAGGGGUGGCAUUGAUACUGGGAGACUUGAGUGUAGUCGAGGUAGGCGGAAUUGACGGUGUAGCGGUGAAAUGCGUAGAUAUCGGAAGGAACAUCAGUGGCGAAAGCGGCUUCCUGGACACCAACUGACGCUGAGACGCGAAAGCGUGGGGAGCAAACAGG